rnacentral:rRNA from 1 species
GCCAUCUUCGGAUGGUGGAGACCGGCGCACGGGUGAGUAACGCGUGGGCACCUACCCUGGGGUGGGGGAUAACCGCUGGAAACGGCGGCUAAUACCGCAUACGCCUUAAGAGGGAAAGAUUUAUCGCCCUGGGAGGGGCCCGCGUUGGAUUAGCUUGUUGGUGGGGUAAUGGCCCACCAAGGCGACGAUCCAUAGCUGGUCUGAGAGGAUGAUCAGCCACACUGGGACUGAGACACGGCCCAGACUCCUACGGGAGGCAGCAGUGGGGAAUAUUGGACAAUGGGGGCAACCCUGAUCCAGCCAUGCCGCGUGCGUGAAGAAGGCCUUAGGGUUGUAAAGCGCUUUCACCGGUGACGAUGAUGACGGUAGCCGGAGAAGAAGCCCCGGCUAACUCCGUGCCAGCAGCCGCGGUAAUACGGAGGGGGCAAGCGUUGUUCGGAAUUACUGGGCGUAAAGGGCGCGUAGGCGGAAAGCCAAGUCAGGGGUGAAAGGCCUGGGCUCAACCCGGGAACUGCCUUUGAAACUGGUUUUCUAGAGUACGGGAGAGGAUGGCGGAAUUCCCAGUGUAGAGGUGAAAUUCGUAGAUAUUGGGAAGAACACCGGUGGCGAAGGCGGCCAUCUGGCCCGGUACUGA